rnacentral:piRNA from 1 species
GACUUCUCUGCAUCUUCUUGGUACUUGGUA